AGAACUUUUUUCAGCGUAAUUUGGACAAGACAUACUAAAGUCCAAAGUACACAAAUGAGAAGCAAUAAGAAGUAUAUAACUAGUAAACCAGCUCUCAAUUAAUUUAUAUUUUCUGCUACAUCUUUAUGGUGAAACUCGACUGUGUGUUAAUGGUCCUCAGAAGAUUCUAGACAACACUGAUGCUCUACUUAUUAUUAAAGGUAAAACUCACCCUAUUGAAGAGGACAAGCUUAAGAUCUAUGCACUGACUUAGUACCACUUAUCCCAAUUUUCACUUAACAAGGGCGCUUAUGCAAGACUCCUCCAGAAAGUGCCAAGUUUCUGCCAAGGGAGGCAGUGAGAGCUCCAGGAUCCCUUCACAGCCAAAGCCAACGUGCGACAAGGGCAAUCCCCUCCAGGAGUUCCAUCUAGUGAGAUCAGACCAAUUCUAUCUCCGUGCAAGCCUGAGGAUCGUGGAUGAAAGGAGCUGUGACUGAGUGCAAAGGCCUGGAAUGGAGCUGCAAGCCUGCACAGAAACUGAGCUAUUCCUCUGGAAAAGCUGAACUUCCACAUGUGCAGGU